rnacentral:rRNA from 1 species
UACGUAGGGGGCAAGCGUUGUCCGGAAUUAUUGGGCGUAAAGGGUGCGUAGGCGGCCUUGCAAGUUGGAUGUGAAAUCCCCGUGCUUAACAUGGGAAUUGCAUUCAAAACUGUGGGGCUUGAGUGUGGAAGAGGUAAGUGGAAUUCCCAGUGUAGCGGUGAAAUGCGUAGAUAUUGGGAGGAACACCAGUGGCGAAGGCGACUUACUGGGCCACAACUGACGCUGAUGCACGAAAGCGUGGGGAGCAAACAGGAUUAGAUACCCUGGUAGUCCACGCUGUAAACGAUGAUUACUAGGUGUAGGGGGUUACACCCCCCCUGUGCCGCAGCUAACGCAAUAAGUAAUCCGCCUGGGGAGUACGGUCGCAAGAUUGAA